rnacentral:lncRNA from 1 species
UGCUCAUCUAACAAAACCAUUUCUCCAGUUAAAUAAGAUCUGAGGAGCUAGAUUUAGCUGUAGCCGCAGUGAGAGUAAUGAUUGAACAUAGUGGCCACAUUGCUAGUUAAUCACCAUACAUCAGGUCCUGUGGUGGAGAGGCCUACAAAAGUCAGGCCACAGAGGUGUCUACAGUCUCUGCCGCCAAGCCUCCCUGUCUCCGAUAACACAUCCAGCGCUGAAGACGAGCGAUCACACCACUUGACAAGUCACCUCUGGCUGAACUCCCCUUACCCCUGUCCACCCCCCUUCUUAGGCUGCUCUCUACUCCUGCACACUUCUCACACCGCCUGCCCUCAUGCACCCUUAUGAGUGGAUGCUGGAAUACCUGGAAGUCUAUCUCCGGUGUACACACACACACACACACACACACACACACACACACACACACACACACACACACACACACACACACACACCCCUCUCCCCCAGCAGCCCCAGGGUCAGUCCCUGCCUCUACCUCCCCAGCAGCCCAAACCCAGCAGUGUCCUGCCCACACAACUUGACCAGGUGAGCCCCACGGUGCAGCUCUGCCUCUGGGCUCAGGCCUCUCAGCGGCCAUUCAUCACCCAGCCGACACAUUCCUGUUGAACGCCUGGGAGGCUUACGCUCCUCUCUGACGCCUACGACCCAGCAGCCUACUGGCCCUGGGAUGAGCUCACUGAGAAGCCACAGCUGACUUUGUUUUACGAGCAUCCAGGUGGAUAGAUCAGAAUCCAGGACAGGAGGAAGACCUGGGAAGAGGCAAGAAUCACAAUGAGGCCCCCAUGCUGAGGGCAGUUGUCACCGGGCUCUUUUACACAUCAAGUCCCAGGCCUCGUCACUUCCUGGGCCUUGUGCUAGCCCCACUGUAGCGCUCUGUCACUCCAUAGGGGAGACGCUUCAAAAGAGCUUGAUGAAAGCUAAGGAGGGAUGGGGCCUGGGGGACGUUUAUCUUUGUGUUGCGUACCAAGGCCUCUUUCAUGUCAAACAAACCCUCUCUAGCAUUCCCCAAUGUACUACAGGCUCAGCACUCAAAGACAAAGGUGGUUGAAAAUGGUAGUGGUCGAGGGGGAGGAUAGAUGAAGGUCGUUAGAAUGUGGCCCACACUGGAGGCUUUAAAUGAUGCCCGGACUGAUACUGUGGAGGC